GACACCACUGAUGUCGAGUGUGCGGGUGUU
rnacentral:piRNA from 1 species